CGGAGGGUGCAAGCGUUAUCCGGAUUUAUUGGGUUUAAAAGGGUCCGUAGGCGGGCUCGUAAGUCAGUGGUGAAAUCUCACAGCUUAACUGUGAAACUGCCGUUGAUACUGCGGGUCUUGAGUAAGGUAGAGGUAGCUGGAAUAAGUAGUGUAGCGGUGAAAUGCAUAGAUAUUACUUAGAACACCAAUUGCGAAGGCAGGUUACCAUGUCUUAACUGACGCUGAUGGACGAAAAGCGUGGGGAGCGAACAGGAUU
rnacentral:rRNA from 1 species